GCGACCCCAGGAUGGGCGAGGCCACCCGCUGAGUUUAAGCAUAUCAAUAAGCGGAGGAGAAGAAACUUACGAGGAUUCCCUAGUACGG
rnacentral:rRNA from 1 species